CAGGUUUGCCCAGGACUGCCCUGGUCUUAAAAGUGGAGUCCCUCCCACAUCCCAGGAGACUCACUGGGUUUGGUCACCCCAGAGCGGGAGAGAGAGGAAGAGGACAGAAAAGCAGGGAAGGAGGCUUUCUCCAGAGGCGGGCAGACAAGGGGAAGGGCAGAAGUGACUUCCAUGGGUGCUGGCUAGAUGGGGAAACUCACUGAGAUGGACACUGGUGGCUGAUGAACUUUUCUGUUCUAUUUGUACCUUGCACUUCAAUGAAGAGUGUUAGAUGAAUAAGGAACGUGGCAGCUGCAGCAGGGGUCUGAAGCCCUGGUCACUGCCGGUGGCCUGGCACCAUGGGGGCUGUGCCCAGUGGGCUUUGGAAGGUGAGCAGUGGACAAAGAGGCCCCACCCUAACCAUCUUCUCCUUGCCUGGAACCUGGCGGCUCUGUGCUUGCAUCUUGAUUCCAGCUGACCCUGCUUUUCCACUCUGGGCAUCAAAGAAGCUUUACUCACUACGUGGGGACCCCUCGCCUUGGAUCACAAAGAGUCUCGACCUUCCUGGACAUCAGCUCAGACCAGAUGAUGUUAAAAAGCUUCGUUGCCGUUGCUGUCUGAUUGAUUACCAGCCAGAUACUCCCUGAACCCAUGCCCAGCCACCCACGCCUCCCUAAUUUCAAGGUCUGAAGGCCAGAUGGACUCAAGCAAGCCAUUUGCCUUUCUGAAAUCUCAGCUGCCUCAUCUGAGCAAGUGAGAUAAGCCGGCUUAUCUUGCCGCUGUGAAGCUGUCUGCAAGGCAAGGUGCCUAAUAAACGUCAGCCAUUACUCACGGGAAUCAAAGCAAAUGCUUAGCGAGCCUUCCUUUGUGCCAGGCACUGUUCUGAGCGCUCUAUGCAUAUGAAUUUGUUUAAUCCUCGCCACCACCUGGGAAGCAGAUACCAUUAUUAUUCCCAUUUUACAGGGGAGGAAACUGAGACAUAGAAAGGCAAAGUCAUUCAGAAUUAAGGUCACACAGUUCGUAGAAGACGGCUGAACACAAGAGGCCUGGUUCCAGACUCCAUGCCCUUAGCCAGUAAUUAUUAUUUCUGCUAAAAUAAUUGCAAUCACUAUUAUUAUGCUGACAGGUUUAGGGGCUUGCUCUGACCAGA
rnacentral:lncRNA from 10 species